GAUGAACGCUAGCUACAGGCUUAACACAUGCAAGUCGAGGGGAAACGAUAUUGGAAGCUUGCUUCCGAUAGGCGUCGACCGGCGCACGGGUGAGUAACGCGUAUCCAACCUGCCCACCACUUGGGGAUAACCUUGCGAAAGUAAGACUAAUACCCAAUGAUACCUCUAGAAGACAUCUGAAGGAGAUUAAAGAUUCAUCGGUGAUGGAUGGGGAUGCGUCUGAUUAGCUUGUUGGCGGGGUAACGGCCCACCAAGGCGACGAUCAGUAGGGGUUCUGAGAGGAAGGUCACCCACAUUGGAACUGAGACACGGUCCAAACUCCUACGGGAGGCAGCAGUGAGGAAUAUUGGUCAAUGGGCGAGAGCCUGAACCAGCCAAGUAGCGUGCAGGAUGACGGCCCUAUGGGUUGUAAACUGCUUUUAUAAGGGAAUAAAGUGAGUCUCGUGAGACUUUUUGCAUGUACCUUAUGAAUAAGGACCGGCUAAUUCCGUGCCAGCCGCCGCGGUAA
rnacentral:rRNA from 1 species